rnacentral:rRNA from 1 species
GCGUCUUAAGCAUGCAAGUCAAACGGAAUGUAGCAAUACAUUUAGUGGCGAACGGGUGAGUAACGCGUGGAUGAUCUACCUAUGAGAUGGGGAUAACUACUAGAAAUAGUAGCUAAUACCGAAUAAGGUCAAUUAAUUUGUUAAUUGAUGAAAGGAAGCCUUUAAAGCUUCGCUUGUAGAUGAGUCUGCGUCUUAUUAGUUAGUUGGUGGGGUAAAUGCCUACCAAGACGAUGAUAAGUAACCGGCCUGAGAGGGUGAACGGUCACACUGGAACUGAGAUACGGUCCAGACUCCUACGGGAGGCAGCAGCUAAGAAUCUUCCGCAAUGGGCGAAAGCCUGACGGAGCGACACUGCGUGAAUGAAGAAGGUCGAAAGAUUGUAAAAUUCUUUUAUAAAUGAGGAAUAAGCUUUGUAGGAAAUGACAAAGCGAUGACGUUAAUUUAUGAAUAAGCCCCGGCUAAUUACGUGCCAGCAGCCGCGGUAAUACGUAAGGGGCGAGCGUUGUUCGGGAUUAUUGGGCGUAAAGGGUGAGUAGGCGGAUAUAUAAGUCUAUGCAUAAAAUACCACAGCUCAACUGUGGAGCUAUGUUGGAAACUAUAUGUCUAGAGUCUGAUAGAGGAAGUUAGAAUUCCUGGUGUAAGGGUGGAAUCUGUUGAUAUCAGGAAGAAUACCGGAGGCGAAGGCGAACUUCUGGGUCAAGACUGACGCUGAGUCACGAAAGCGUAGGGAGCAAACAGGAUUAGAUACCCUGGUAGUCUACGCUGUAAACGAUGCACACUUGGUGUUAACUAAAAGUUAGUACCGAAGCUAACGUG